CGGGACGUAGUUCAGUUGGCUAGAACGUACGCAUGGGGUGCGUAAGGUCGCCCGUUCAAGUCGGGUCGUCCCGA
rnacentral:tRNA from 1 species